rnacentral:rRNA from 1 species
GUUAACGCUGGCGGUAGGCCUAGCACAUGCAAGUCGCACGGCAGCACAGUAAGAGCUUGCUCUUACGGGUGGCGAGUGGCGGACGGGUGAGGAAUACAUCGGAAUCUACUUUUUCGUGGGGAUAACGUAGGGAAACUUACGCUAAUACCGCAUACGACCUACGGGUGAAAGCAGGGGAUCUUCGGACCUUGCGCGAUUGAAUGAGCCGAUGUCGGAUUAGCUAGUUGGCGGGGUAAAGGCCCACCAAGGCGACGAUCCGUAGCUGGUCUGAGAGGAUAAUCAGCCACACUGGAACUGAGACACGGUCCAGACUCCUACGGGAGGCAGCAGUGGGGAAUAUUGGACAAUGGGCGCAAGCCUGAUCCAGCCAUACCGCGUGGGUGAAGAAGGCCUUCGGGUUGUAAAGCCCUUUUGUUGGGAAAGAAAAGCAGCAGGUUAAUACCCCGCUGUUCUGACGGUACCCAAAGAAUAAGCACCGGCUAACUUCGUG